UCCCUGGUGGUCCAGAGAUUAGGACUCAGUGUUCUCAUUGCCAUGGUCCCAGGUUCAAGUCCUGGUCAGGGAA
rnacentral:tRNA from 1 species